CACCCGGUAGCACAUGGUGUGCAUCUGCCUUGCAUGUCAAACAGCCGAUCGUGUAUAGCCUGCAGAAGGCCCCCGUUCGAUUCGGGGUCGGGUGA